rnacentral:rRNA from 1 species
CCUACGGGAGGCAGCAGUGGGGAAUAUUGGACAAUGGGCGCAAGCCUGAUCCAGCCAUGCCGCGUGUGUGAAGAAGGUCUUCGGAUUGUAAAGCACUUUAAGUUGGGAGGAAGGGCAGUAAGCGAAUACCUUGCUGUUUGACGUUACCGACAGAAUAAGCACCGGC